UUGUAUUUCAAAUUGUUUUUUUUGUUUUUUUUUUAUUUAAUUGUGACUCUUUUGGGCUUCCAUAUGUUUAAAAUUCUUCCAAAAUGAAAGGGUAGAAGGUUCUAUAGAAUGGUUCGGCAGGAAAAACAUACACACAGUAAACAUUUAGCCUUUUGGGGGCUACAAUGGUCUUUUUGGUAAUUAGGAUCUUACCUAGCAGCUGCACUCCACGGGUCAGACCGUAAACAUCAAUUAGAGCCCAGAGUUGCUCGGUGGCUCGUACUCCACUGAAAAACAGCAUGGGGCUUGACUCGUUUAUGCGGUAGAAAACACGCCCCUUCUUGUCAACCCAAAAGGCGAUAAUGUUCCCCUCGUUAGCAAACUCCUCAGGUAGAGCCUUAGCCCAGAAGCCACUUUGAGACACCAGGUCUGGGCAGGCAUACUUCGGCAAGUUGUCUGGGUGUAUUCUGCAUGGAUCUUUGGAGGUGAAUCCCAGACGCAAGGCUCCACUCCAACAACACUGCUUUUUAGUAAUCUGAGGGGAAACGUGAUUUGAGGCACUCAAAGUGGUUUGACAUGUCUCUGGAUGAUGCUGCAUCAGGAGCAACAGAAUUUCACUCGAGGAUAGUAAUGUAACAGUAGAUUCCUCUGCAUUUCCGCUUCCUCCCACGAGAGCGCGCCGUCUUAAAACAAGAAGAACCACUGCCACUGGCGAUUCUGUUCCUUUUGUCCAGGACACAAAUUGCAUAACGCCGUGUGUAAGUGUAUUAUAUAAUGAUCUACUUAAAGUAUUGUUGUAUAUAUGGAAGGAUUGCAGUGGAUUGUCAAAUAAA